rnacentral:rRNA from 1 species
UACGGAAGGCAGCAGUGGGGAAUAUUGCACAAUGGGCGCAAGCCUGAUGCAGCCAUGCCGCGUGUAUGAAAAAGGCCUUCGGGUUGUAAAGUACUUUCAGUCGUGAGGAAGGUGUUAAGGUUAAUAACCUUAGCAAUUGACGUUAGCGACAGAAGAAGCACCGGCUAACUCCGUGCCAGCAGCCGCGGUAAUACGGAGGAUGCGAGCGUUAAUCGGAAUUACUGGGCGUAAAGGGCACGCAGGCGGUUAAUUAAGUUGGAUGUGAAAUCCCCGGGCUUAACCUGGGAAUGGCAUUCAAGACUGGUUAGCUAGAGUCUUGUAGAGGGGGUAGAAUUCCAUGUGUAGCGGUGAAAUGCGUAGAGAUGUGGAGGAAUACCGGUGGCGAAGGCGGCCCCUGGACAAAGACUGACGCUCAUGUGCGAAAGCGUGGGGAGCAAACAGGGAUUAGAUACC